AUUGAACGCUGGCGGCAUGCCUUACACAUGCAAGUCGAACGGCAGCACGGGUGCUUGCACCUGGUGGCGAGUGGCGAACGGGUGAGUAAUACAUCGGAACAUGUCCUGUAGUGGGGGAUAGCCCGGCGAAAGCCGGAUUAAUACCGCAUACGAUCUACGGAUGAAAGCGGGGGACCUUCGGGCCUCGCGCUAUAGGGUUGGCCGAUGGCUGAUUAGCUAGUUGGUGGGGUAAAGGCCUACCAAGGCGACGAUCAGUAGCUGGUCUGAGAGGACGACCAGCCACACUGGGACUGGGACACGGCCCAGACUCCUACGGAGGCAGCAGUGGGGAAUUUUGGACAAUGGGCGAAAGCCUGAUCCAGCAAUGCCGCGUGUGUGAAGAAGGCCUUCGGGUUGUAAAGCACUUUUGUCCGGAAAGAAAUCCUUGGCCCUAAUACGGUCGGGGGAUGACGGUACCGGAAGAAUAAGCACCGGCUAACUACGUG
rnacentral:rRNA from 1 species